CAUUAAGAAGCUUGCACUAAGCAACAGCCCUUUAAUCUGUAGAAGGGGACUACCCCCCUUAAUGC
rnacentral:tRNA from 1 species